CCAAUAGCGUAUAUUAAAGUUGUUGCAGUUAAAAAGCUCGUAGUUGAAUUUCGGGAUCAAUAUGUCGGUCGUGCCUCGGUACGUACUGGCGUCAUUGGUUUCUCCCUUCUGAAGAACCUUGAUGUCAUUAACUUGGUGUCUUGGGGAAUCAGGACUGUUACUUUGAAAAAAUUAGAGUGUUUAAAGCAGGCUCGCGCUUGAAUACAUUAGCAUGGAAUAAUGAAAUAGGACGUUUGAUUCUAUUUUGUUGGUUUCUAGGAUCGACGUAAUGAUUAAUAGGGAUAGUUGGGGGCAUUAGUAUUCAAUUGUCAGAGGUGAAAUUCUUGGAUUUAUUGAAGACUAACUACUGCGAAAGCAUUUGCCAAGGAUGUUCUCAUUAAUCAAGAACGAAAGUUAGGGGAUCGAAGACGAUCAGAUACCGUCGUAGUCUUAACCAUAAACUAUGCCGACUAGGGAUCGGAUGAUGUUGAUUUUUUAAUGACUCAUUCGGCGCCUUACG
rnacentral:rRNA from 1 species